ensembl:lncRNA
UACACCUGUACCGCCUACAGCAGGGAGGGAAACAUGCUGAUGAAGAAAGAAGUGCUGCUCACUGUCAGAGUCCCCCAGGUGGAGGUGGAUUCAGGGGUGGAGUCUGUCCAGCUGCCCUUCAACACCACACUUCACCUGCCUGAAGACGCUAAAGUGGAGUGGAUGGACAGUGAUGAUGAUAUAGUCCACGUGUAUGAGAACGGCUCUGACCAGCCUCACAAACAGCACCAGGCUUACAGAGACCGAACGAAGAUGAAUGAAGACCUGCUGAAAACUGGAGACCUCAGUCUGACCCUGAAAUACCCCACAGUAACAAAGACCUUCACCUGCACCGUCUACAGCAGGGAGGGAAACAUCCUGCUGAAGAAACAAGUGGAGCUGAAAGUCAGAGUCUGUCAGGUGGAGGUGGAGGAGGGGGCGGAGUCUGUCCAGCUGCCCUUCAGAACCACACAAAACCUGCCUGAAGAUGCUGAGGUGCAGUGGAGAGACAGUUCACUUAACAUUGUCCACAUGUAUAAGAACGGCUCUGACCAGCCUGAAGAACAGCACCAGGUUUACAGAGACCGAACGAAGAUGAAUGAAGACCUGCUGAAAACUGGAGACCUCAGUCUGACCCUGAAACACCCCACAGAGAGAGACAGUGGGAGAUACAGAUGUGACGUUGUGAGGAAUUAUGUGAUUAGAAGGAAAACAGUGCAGCUCACAAUCAGAGGGAGAGUUCAGGUCCAGGAUCAAACAGGGGACAUCAGGAACAGAAGCAGCUCCAUUGAUCCGACUCCUCUGAUGGCUGAUCAAUCAGUUUGAUCUGUGUGUUCUUUGAUUAUUGAUCAGUGAUGUCAGAGUGGAGUCAGUGUGAUGUUGUUGUUGUGUGUUUGAGACUUUUAGUGUCCAUGAAGGUCUCUGCUGCCGUAGAUCCUCUGAACUGUGACAGAGGUCUCACUCUGGAGGAAACUCUCAGCACUUUCCAGCAGCUCCUCCAUCAUGGAGGACGUUCCCUCACUGUAACAGGUGGAGGAGUGUUAAGAGAAUAUUGUAUAUAUGUGAUCAGCUGCAUGAAAUCUGAAGAACGGCAGGGUGAUUUAAAGAAAUCCCCUGUCAAGGAGAGAGGACAGGAAGCACAGGUGGAUCCUCUGAGGAAGAGGAGCGUUCCUACAAACCACAUGAUCACAUGACCAGAGGACA